rnacentral:lncRNA from 1 species
UGCUAGCUUAAUGGUCCAUCGACUAUUUCAUCAUGCCUACCCAUAAGGUCGACUCACUGCCUCUGCUACAACGGUUUAGGAAAUGGCCCGUCGCUAGAUCGACGGUCCAUCAGCCCUUUCUGUCGCACCUGGGUGGUUCAAAUUACUUUCUAUAUUUUGGCCAAAACUUUCUACUCCAAUACCAAAUUUAGGAAAAUUUGGUAUCGAUGG